AUACUUACCUGGCAGGGGAGAUACCAUGAUCACAAAGGUGGUAUUCCCAGGGCGAGGCUUAUCCAUUGCACUCCGGACGUGCUGACCCCUACGAUUUCCCCAAAUGUGGGAAACUCGACUGCAUAAUUUGUGGAGGGGAAAAAACCUUGGAAGGACACAUUCUA
rfam:Myotis davidii contig210397, whole genome shotgun sequence.